rnacentral:rRNA from 1 species
UACGUAGGGGGCUAGCGUUGUCCGGAAUCAUUGGGCGUAAAGCGCGUGUAGGCGGUUCGAUAAGUCUGCUGUGAAAGUCCAGGGCUCAACCCUGGGAUGCCGGUGGAUACUGUCGAGCUAGAGUACGGAAGAGGCGAGUGGAAUUCCCGGUGUAGCGGUGAAAUGCGCAGAUAUCGGGAGGAACACCAAUUGCGAAGGCAGCUCGCUGGGACGUCACUGACGCUGAGACGCGAAAGCGUGGGAGCAACA